rnacentral:rRNA from 1 species
UACAGAGGGUGCGAGCGUUGUCCGGAAUCACUGGGCGUAAAGGGUGCGUAGGCGGGUCUUUAAGUCAGGGGUGAAAUCCUGGAGCUCAACUCCAGAACUGCCUUUGAUACUGAAGAUCUUGAGUUCGGGAGAGGUGAGUGGAACUGCGAGUGUAGAGGUGAAAUUCGUAGAUAUUCGCAAGAACACCAGUGGCGAAGGCGGCUCACUGGCCCGAUACUGACGCUGAUGCACGAAAGCGUGGGGAGCAAACAGG